rnacentral:snoRNA from 1 species
ACCGAGACUAGAGUCACAUCUAGAUAUUGCCUGUUGUCAUGGUGUGCUAUAGUACUCGGAGAGUAACAACUGACCUUUAUUCACUGACUGUUCUUGUCAUAGUGCAGUCAGCCACCAGGUUAGUAACAAAA